rnacentral:rRNA from 1 species
CCUACGGGAGGCAGCAGUGGGGAAUAUUGCACAAUGGGGGGAACCCUGAUGCAGCGACGCCGCGUGAGUGAAGAAGUAUUUCGGUAUGUAAAGCUUCAUCAGCAGGGGAGAAAAUUACGGUACCUGACUAAGAAGCCCCGGCUAACUACGUGCCAGCAGCCGCGGUAAUACGUAGGGGGCAAGCGUUCUCCGGAUUUACUGGGUGUUAAGGGAGCGCAGACGGCUGUGCAAGUCUGGAGUGAAAGGCGGGGGGCCAACCCCCGGACUGCUCUGGAAACUGUAAAGCUGGAGUGCAGGAGAGGUAAGCGGAAUUCCGAGUGUAGCGGUGAAAGGCGUAGAUAUUAGGAGGAACACCAGUGGCGAAGGCGGCUUACUGGACUGCAACUGACGUUGAGGCUCGAAAGCGUGGGGAGCAAACAGGAUUAGAUACCCGAGUAGUC